GAAACUAACCAGGAUUCUCUUAGUAACGGCGAGUGAACAGAGAUUAGCCCAACAUCGAAGCCUCUAUGCAUUUGUGUGGAAGGCAAUGUGAUGUAAAGGUGUUCGUUUUCGCAGACUGGCUUACUUGAAGUCCAUAUUUGACUGUGGCUUGUGUAUAAUUAUACUCCCAGAGAUGGUGAAAGGCCAGUUCAAGUUGGUAAUUCAGACCAGACUGUCUGCGUAUAUACGUUCACUGUUGAGUCGGAUUGCUUGAGAUUGCAGUCCAAAUAUGGUGGUAAACUCCAUCAAAGGCUAAAUACCUGUGUGAAUCCGAUAGUCAACAAGUACCGUGAGGGAAAGUUGAAAAGUACUCUGAAGAGAGAGUAAAUAGUGCGUGAAACUACAUGAAGGUUAAACGGAUAGAGUCCAACUGCGUGUUAUUGUUCAUUGCAUUAUUCAUUACUAUGUACUAAUUGUGCAGCGACAGCUUGUCGAUUGGCGUACCCAUUUGUGGGUAUUUGAACAAUUGGCUAUGUUUAAUGGAUGUUGUUGUGCAAGUGUGGGUAAUGUUUAUGACGAUAGCAGAAGCCAUAGUCGGUUAAAUCUAUCAGCACUAAGCUAACAGCGUUUGCAUGAGCGACUUUUUGUCGUUUAUGUGAUCGAUAGACAGUUGUUAUUUACAUAUGCUUGCAUGUGUUUAUGGCAAAAUGGGCUACGGCCUGUUGUGAGCUGAGUGCGCUGUGUGAUUAACCGGUGACAUAUGUUCUAUGUAAUUCAUAAGCUAGCAUAGAUUGCUAUGAGAGCUUGUGAAGUAACGUACGAGCUAUGGUUUAGCGGAA
rnacentral:rRNA from 1 species